rnacentral:rRNA from 1 species
GACGUAGGGCGCGAGCGUUGUCCGGAUUUAUUGGGCGUAAAGAGCUCGUAGGCGGUUUGUCGCGUCGGCUGUGAAAACUCGGGGCUCAACCCCGAGCCUGCAGUCGAUACGGGCAGACUAGAGUGCUGUAGGGGAGACUGGAAUUCCUGGUGUAGCGGUGGAAUGCGCAGAUAGUCAGGAGGAACACCGAUGGCGAAGGCAGAUCUCUGGGCCCGUGAA